GGAUGUAUAGCCCAGUGGUAGAGGCCACGACUGUAGAGCGCGGGGUCCCGUGUUCGAACCAAUGUGAGGGUU